UAUCUGUGUGUCGUGAUGACGCGUUUUAAUAGCGGCUAAACCUUCAAAGCUUCUUCUUCAUCAUCGAUAGUUUCCCUGUUUUACAGGAAAUUAUAUAAAUUUUCAUUCCCUUCUGUUUUUAGUUUGCUUUGCACCCAUCCUUUCCCAAUGUUUUUAUUCUUCUUCCUCCUCUCUUUCUUCCUCUCUUUCAUAUUCUUAUUAUUUUCUUUCCACUGCAAGAAACUCCAUAACCAACAACAACUACAAGUACAAGAAGAGGAGGGGAACUCCCAUAAUGAAUCUGUCCUUUUGAACGAUUCAAAAUCACCAGCCCGCGAAAACGAAUCGACCCAUUUGCCCCAUUCGCUUCGUCUUGAGAUCAUGCCUUCCGAUUCUGUAAAAUGGGCUGGUUUAUUUGCCGGGGAAAACCAACAUAAAGGGGAUGCCGGUCAAUUCGGGUCGGGUCUAGAUGGGGAGCCGUGUGAAUCGGGUGGUGAGGAACAGAGGACGAAGAAGAAAAAGAAGAAAAGAGGGAAGAAGAAGAGAUUGAAUUCCAAAAGCGAUGACGAAAAUGGUGAAGAAAGGUGUAGCUUUUCCGAGGACGAUAAGAAGAUGGAAGAAUCGGUUCGUGGGGGUCGGGUCAAGCCGGAUCUUGUUUGCUUGUACCCUUUUACAUCAACGAGUAGUGCAACACAGAGGAAGAUCAAGCAACAGUAUGAUCAGCUUGUUAAGUGCCAUGAAAACAAAGGAUUAACAUUGGCUCAGGUAGGAGACUUUGCUAAUUGCUUGAUAGAGGCUAGGAAUGAGCUGCAGCAGAAGUCUGAGGUGAUUAAACGAAAGUUUACAAUAACAAGGGCUCUACUCUUCAAAGCAGACCGAUCAUCAUUUGAUCGCCUAAGGCAGCAGAUAUGCAAGCUAGAAAUGGAGCAAAAGAGAUUAGAAGAGGAUGCAUUUGUCUAUAACUGGCUCCAACAGCAACUUAAAUUAUCACCGGCCUAUAAGAAGGAACAUGAUGAUGCUAGAAGUUUGUACUUGCAUAGAGUCGAAGCGCAAGUCCUGCGAGCCAAUUGAAGACACAGAUUCUGAAUUCACUGACAUCUCUUUCGAAGAGUUAUUAGCUCAGGAAAAGAAGGAUUCGUUUUGGCAGAAAAAUGGGAAACCAAGAUUAAGCUCAAACUGAUGACAGCAUUUCUUUAGCCAACUCGACUGAGAAGCCCCACUUUUUGUAGUAUGUAUAUUCGAAUUAUGUUUCUUUAGUUUCUGCAGCAAAAUCAUUGUCAUAACUUCAAGUUUUACAGGCUCUCCCGUGAAAAGCUAUUAGAUCGUAUAGAACGACAAAGCUGAUUUACACGCCAUGUUUUCAGCUGAAGUUCAGCCCUCAGCUAGCAGCAAACUCCCAUCUUUCGAGAUC